AUGGCUGCAGCCGCCGCAGAAGCACAGCCACAUGCGGCCUACCAAUCAGAAUUCAGACCACUUUCUGUCAGGACCGUUAAGAUAGAGAAGUUUGCUUUCCAGGACAUUAAUGAAGUGUAUGGAUACAGAAUAAACAGGGAUAUAAUGAAGACCCUAAAAGGCCUUUUUAUAUCAUUAUCAUGGCUGUCAGGUGUCCUGUCUUCUAACCAACUUGUCCAGUCUGAUCCAGCCGUGAUAAAGCCGGGGAACUCCCAUACACUCACCUGUCAGGGUUCAGGAGGAUUCACCUUUGGUAGCAAUUAUAUGCACUGGUUCAGACAGUUCUCUGAUGGAAAGUUUCAAUGGUUGUGUUAUAUUGGUAGCAGUGGGGAUACACACUAUAAUGAUGCUGUUAAAGGGAGAUUUACAACCACUAGAGAUAACAGCAAUAACAAGCUGACUCUGAAAACGGACAACAUGAAAAUAGAAGACACUGCCGUGUAUUACUGUGCAAGACGCUCACACUGAUGGAAAAUAUAUCUU